rnacentral:misc_RNA from 1 species
UAUAGCUUUAGAUCUGGCAUGGUGAUUU